UACGUAGGGGCAAGCGUUAUCCGGAUUUACUGGGUGUAAAGGGAGCGUAGACGGCAUGGCAAGUCAGAUGUGAAAGCCCGGGGCUCAACCCCGGGACUGCAUUUGAAACUGUCAGGCUGGAGUGCAGGAGAGGUAAGCGGAAUUCCUAGUGUAGCGGUGAAAUGCGUAGAUAUUAGGAGGAACACCAGUGGCGAAGGCGGCUUACUGGACUGUAACUGACGUUGAGGCUCGAAAGCGUGGGGAGCAAACAGG
rnacentral:rRNA from 1 species